rnacentral:rRNA from 14 species
CAUCUGUUGAAAAAGAUCGGGAUGAGGUGUGCCUAGGGGUGAAAGGCCAAUCAAACUCGGAGAUAGCUGGUUCUCUGCGAAAUCUAUUUAGGUAGAGCGUCGACCGAAUACUCUCGGGGGUAGAGCACUGAAUGGGUAAUGGGGGCCUACAGCCUUACUGAUCCUAAUCAAACUCCGAAUACCGAGGAGUAAUAUCCGGCAGACACACAGCGGGUGCUAACGUCCGUUGUGGAGAGGGAAACAACCCUGACCUACGACUAAGGCCCCUAAUUCAUGGCUAAGUGGGAAAGCAGGUGGGACGACCAAAACAA